GUAACCAUCUGGAAGUGGGCCAUUCAGAGAUGUGUGGAGUUUGUUACGGAGGGGAGUGGCGUCAGAGGUCGCCCAGGGCCACGUGGAGCUUGCUGCGGGGGGUGGAGUGGUGUCCGUUGUUGUGACUUGCCAGAGAGUGGUGGAGCUGCAUAGAAUCCAUUGUAGAGAGUGAAGCAGGGUGACGGCUCUUGUCGUGGCUUGUCAGAGGGUGGUGGAGCUGCAUGGAAUCCGUUGCAGAGAGUGGAGCAGGGUGACGGCUUUUAUCAUGGCUUGUCAGAGAGUUCGAAUCCAUCGGUUGAAGCUUGGCUGGGAUGCCUGAUGGAGCAGAAUGGCUCUUCACAUCAUCAUUCU
rnacentral:lncRNA from 1 species